rnacentral:rRNA from 1 species
UACGAAGGGGGCUAGCGUUGCUCGGAUUGACUGGGCGUAAAGGGCGCGUAGGCGGAUAGUACAGUCAGGCGUGAAAUUCCUGGGCUCAACCUGGGGGCUGCGUUUGAUACGUAUUGUCUGGAGUUCGGAAGAGGGUCGUGGAAUUCCCAGUGUAGAGGUGAAAUUCGUAGGUAUUCGCGAGAACACCAGUGGCGAAGGCGGCUCACUGGCCCGAUACUGACGCUGAGGCACGAAAGCGUGGGGAGCAAACAGG